GGCCUACGGGAGGCAGCAGUAGGGAAUUUUCGUCAAUGGGCGCAAGCCUGAACGAGCAAUGCCGCGUGAACGAGGAAGGUCUUCGGAUCGUAAAGUUCUGUUGAAGGGGAAAAAGAGCGGAGAGAGGAAAUGCUUUCUGAUUGAUAUUACCCUUCGAGGAAGUCACGGCUAACUACGUGCCAGCAGCCGCGGUAAUACAUAGGUGGCGAGCGUUAUCCGGAAUGAUUGGGCGUAAAGGGUGCGUAGGCGGCCUGCUAAGUCUGGAGUGAAAGGUACCGGCUCAACCGGUACAGGCUCUGGAAACU
rnacentral:rRNA from 1 species